AUGGCCUUGGUUGGGGCGAGGCAGACACUGCCUCGGUGUGUCAGGGCCUUGGUUGGGGCGAGGCAGACACUGCCUCGGGUGUCAGGGACUUGGUUGGGGCGAGGCAGACACUGCCUCGGGUGUCAGGGCCUUGGUUGGGGCGAGGCAGACACUGCCUCGGGUGUCAGGGACUUGGUUGGGGCGAGGCAGACACUGCCUCGGGUGUCAGGGACUUGGUUGGGGCGAGGCAGACACUGCCUCGGGUGUCAGGGCCUUGGUUGGGGUGAGGCAGACACUGCCUCGGGUGUCAGGGCCUUGGUUGGGGUGAGGCAGACACUGCCUCGGGUGUCAGGGCCUUGGUUGGGUGAGGCAGACACUGCCUCGGGUGUCAGGGCAGGUGACAUCACUUUGUUCCACGGUGGAAAAUGUUUACUAGCUAGCUACCUCACACCUGCAACACUUCCUCCAUCGCUCUUCCCUCCAUAUCUCUUCUUCCAUCUCUCUUCCUCUUUCCCUCAUCUCUCCUCCUCUUCCUCCAUCUCUCCUCCUCUUCCUCCAUCUCUCCUCCUCUUCCUCCAUCUCUCAUUCACUGGGUCUGAUUUAGCUUCUCUCCUCUUUUAUCUAUUCUUCUUUUUUUGAUCUCCUCAUUUCCAACUAACUUUUCCUACUUCUCAUCUCCUUCCUCCUUUUCCUCUUUCAUUCUACUCCUUCUUUCUUCCCCUCCUCCUCCUCCUCCUCCUCCUCCUCCUCUUUUUUCUCCCCCUCCUCAUCUUCUUUCUCCUCCUCUCCUCUUCUUUCUCCCCCUCCUCUCCUUCUUUCUCUCCUCCUCCUCUUCUUUCUCCCCCUCCUCUCCUUCUUUCUCCUCCUCCUCCUCUUCUUUCUCUCCCCUCCUCUCCUUCUUUCUCUCCUCCUCCUCCUCUUCUUUCUCCCCCCUCCUCCUUCCUUCUUUCUCCUCAUCCUCCUCCUCUUCUUUCUCCUUCUUUUCCUCUUCUCCUUCUUCUUCCUCCUGUUCUCUCUUUCUUCCUCCUCCUGUUCCCCUCCUUCUUCCUCCUCCUCCUCUUCUUCUCCUUCCUUCUGCUCUUCCCCCAACACAGUCUUGUUCUCCAUUUUGGUUCUCCACAUCCCCUUUAUCUUUGACAUCCUCCUCUCCUCUAUCUUCUUCUGCCUCCUCUUCAACAUGGUCCUCCUCCACCUCUUCAACAUGGUUCUCCUCCACCUCUUCAACAUGGUCCUCCUCCUCCUCUUCAACAUUGUCCUCCUCCUCCUCCUCCUCCUCUUCAACAUGGUCGUCCUCCUCCACUUCUUCAACAUGGUCCUCCUCCUCCCCUUCAACAUGGUCUUCUUCCUCCUCCUCUUCAACAUGGUCUUCCUCCUCUUCAACAUGGUCCUCUAUCUCCUCUUCAACAUGGUCCGCCUCCUCCUCUUCAACAUGGUCCUCCUCCUCUUCAACACAGUUCCCCCUCCACCUCUUCAACAUGGUUCUCCUCCUCCUCCUCAACAUGGUUCUCCUCCUCCUCCUCCUCAACAUGGUUAUCCUCCACCUCUUCAACAUGGUUCUCCUCCUCAAGAUGGUUCUCCUCCUCCUCCUCAACAUGGUUCUCCUCUUCCACUUCAACAUGGUUCUCCUCCUCUUCAACAUGGUUCUCCUCCUCCUCCUCUUCAACAUGGUUCUCCUCUUCCACUUCAACAUGGUUCUCCUCCACCUCUUCAACAUGGUUCUCCUUUGAAUUGUCCUGGUUUCCGUUCUCCUGUCUGACCAUGUGUUGGGACCCGUUGAGUUGUUGUAUGUGGUUGUGGUUUGGCUCCACAUCUUCCAGUGCCAGCUCAAACUGGGAGGAUAAAGAGAAGACAGUAGAUUGAUAGUUAGUUAUAUAGAUGGUCAUUGAUAAAGAGAAGACAGUAGAUUGAUA
rnacentral:lncRNA from 1 species